AAAUUGAAGAGUUUGAUCAUGGCUCAGAUUGAACGCUGGCGGCAGGCCUAACACAUGCAAGUCGAACGGUAACAGGAAGCAGCUUGCUGCUUUGCUGACGAGUGGCGGACGGGUGAGUAAUGUCUGGGAAACUGCCUGAUGGAGGGGGAUAACUACUGGAAACGGUGGC
rnacentral:rRNA from 8 species